rnacentral:ncRNA from 15 species
GAGGGGAUGGACUUACUAGGACGUCCAACUAUAUCGUCGUGACCAAGGCCCGCGGUGCGAGACCGGCACGGUCCCGCCACUGUGACCGAGGAGCGCACCGCCGCGAACUCGCCACCGGCACAAGGCCGUCGGGGGCGGGCGGGGCGCGUCGAUCCGGGAGUCAGGAUACCGGCCGCGGGGUGUUCCGUGUUG